rnacentral:lncRNA from 1 species
UUACAGGAUGAGGUUAAGCUAGAGAGAAAAUGAGGUUAAUACACAAAAAUGGAGUAUUGGAACUACUUUGAAUUGGCUAUACACCAGAAAUAAGAGUUUGAGAUGUUAGAAAAAAUAACAUAAGACAAUGGAUAAAAGGACACACGCUUAACAGAAAUUCAAUUUAUGAUAACACUAUAAGAUGAUGUCUGUAGUGGAAUAUAGUGAGGAAACUGACUAAUAUUUGGCAAAUUGAAUACAUAUUUAGUUGAGCAUAUUUAGGUAAAAAUCAUCGAUGCUUUUCAUAUCAAAAAAAGGGCAUAUGUUAGGAAACUUGUGAGCAGCCUCUCAAACUUAAUAAGUUAUUCUAAACCUCCUUAGCGCACCUGGUCUUCGUGAGUAUGUCUCCUUGACUUCAAGGGAAACUAAAGUUGAUGAGCCUAUGACAUUUUAUCCUCAUUCAAUUCUGUGAUCAGAACUAAGUGACUUGUGAAACUGUGUUGAUUCUGGGUAUGGAUCUGUGACCUCAAUAAUUUGCGAAAUUGUGAUAUGUGAGUUUAAUUUUUUUGUUGUUGUUUUAGUGUGCAAGCCAGGGAACCAGACCAGCACACAUCUUUCAUUUCAUUUGAUAAGAAGUGAGAUACAGCUAUAUAGCAACCACACUGCAGGAUAUUAUGGCCCUUCCAUUCUGCUAUAAUGAUUCCACUACAUAUAACUAAGAAAAUCCAGGAGGAAUCACCUUUGUGUUCACAGGGUUCGUCAAGCCCCCAGAGCCACUGACCUGUAAGGAACCGAGCUGCAUAGUGGGAGGCAAGCGGUGGGCAAAACGGAAACCAUCCAGGUGCGUGGAAAAAUUGUCUUUUACAAAACUGAUCCCUGGUGUCAAAAAGGUGGGGGGCUGCUGCUCUAUACCACACUGCCUUACUAGGUUCAAAUGUUUGUGUUUAAACAUUGUUCUUUGAGAACCUCUAUCUUUCUAGAAAUAAUACCAGAAUAUUCAACUUUUGAAAAAUAUGCUCAGAAGCAAAAAAUGAAGGGGAGACCCAUGCUAUGAAAACCAUACCCAAUACCACUUUAAACCCAUAUAGACUUUAGGGGCCAUGGUAGCAGCUAUACUUUAAUUUUUUGCUAAACGGCUCAAUCAGAUAUAUAUUCUCUUCUCUCAUUUGUUGCUAUAAAGAAUUACAGCAUUAAAGGUUUUCUGUUUACAUAAUGAUCAAAUAAUUAAGAGUUCAUUUU